rnacentral:rRNA from 1 species
GAUGAACGCUAGCGACAGGCCUAACACAUGCAAGUCGAGGGGCAGCAUGAUUUGUAGCAAUACAGAUUGAUGGCGACCGGCGCACGGGUGAGUAACGCGUAUGCAACUUACCUAUCAGAGGGGGAUAGCCCGGCGAAAGUCGGAUUAAUACCCCAUAAAACAGGGGGUCCCGCAUGGGAAUAUUUGUUAAAGAUUCAUCGCUGAUAGAUAGGCAUGCGUUCCAUUAGGCAGUUGGCGGGGUAACGGCCCACCAAACCGACGAUGGAUAGGGGUUCUGAGAGGAAGGUCCCCCACAUUGGUACUGAGACACGGACCAAACUCCUACGGGAGGCAGCAGUGAGGAAUAUUGGUCAAUGGCCGAGAGGCUGAACCAGCCAAGUCGCGUGAAGGAAGAAGGAUCUAUGGUUUGUAAACUUCUUUUAUAGGGGAAUAAAGUGGAGGACGUGUCCUUUUUUGUAUGUACCCUAUGAAUAAGCAUCGGCUAACUCCGUGCCAGCAGCCGCGGUAAUACGGAGGAUGCGAGCGUUAUCCGGAUUUAUUGGGUUUAAAGGGUGCGUAGGUGGUGAUUUAAGUCAGCGGUGAAAGUUUGUGGCUCAACCAUAAAAUUGCCGUUGAAACUGGGUUACUUGAGUGUGUUUGAGGUAGGCGGAAUGCGUGGUGUAGCGGUGAAAUGCAUAGAUAUCACGCAGAACUCCGAUUGCGAAGGCAGCUUACUAAACCAUAACUGACACUGAAGCACGAAAGCGUGGGGAUCAAGCAGGAUUAGAUACCCUGGUAGUCCACGCAGUAAACG